GGGAAUAUACUCUAGAGACAUACCAUUUGCAGCAAGGCGAUUCCUCUGAAAUAGGCUAGCCCACUGUUUGGGUGGGUCAACUUUUGCUCCUUCCUCACUAACAGCCUUUGGUACAUCAGUUGGUGGUGGUCGUUGCAUGUGGUCCUUACCCCUUUUCUCAGGUUCCAUCGGGACAAUCACUGGAUUAACUUGAGGUUCUGAGUUGUUA
rnacentral:lncRNA from 1 species